rnacentral:tRNA from 1 species
GGAUAAAUAGUUUAAAUCACAAUAAAACAUAACACUGAAAAUGUUAAAAUGAAAUUCUCUUUCUCCAC